AUGCUCACAGUGGAUGAGAUCGAGGAAGCGUGGUCUUAUCUACUGGAGAAGUACGACCUGUAGACACACUCGUACAUGACGCAGAUUUUCGAGAUAAGGGAGAAGUGGGCGAAGUCGUAUUUCAAGGGAAUUUUUUGUGCCAAGAUGACAAGUACCCAGAGGAGUUAGAGUGUGAACCAUAUGCUGAAGAACUAUGUACCCUCCGGCUCUCCGAUGCAUAAGUUUGUUAGGCAGUAUAUGCGGUUGCAGUUUGAUCGUCAAUCAGAUGAGAGUUAUGAAGAGAAGAAAACUAAAAUCAUAAGUGCAGCUUCAUUGAGAAAGAAAUGGUAG
rnacentral:rRNA from 1 species